rnacentral:lncRNA from 1 species
GGUUUUGAAUUUGAAAAUUUAACAAUAAUACAUGGCUUAACUUGUGAUGCAGUUAGUUAGUUGAAAAAGUAUAUUAGGGCAAGCAAAAUGUCCAUUCGAGCUGUUUGGAUAGAAAAUACAGAGAAAUAAAGAGA